rnacentral:lncRNA from 1 species
CAUCCCACUCUGAGAAUGAUUGAGAGUUACAAAUCCAACAUGUGAAGAAGUGCUCUGCUUUCUGACUGGCGUUUCACAAAAUGGGAAAAAGGACAAAAGGCAGACCCACACCACUCAACCAAGCUACUUUUCCUCCUUCUCCCUUCAAGAUCAGCGACGGUGACCAUUGUUCAGAGCCUACAUAAAGCCUUUCAACAAUACAACUUACUACAGUCAUUUUAAAAGAAAUCGUGGAGCAUAGGUGCUCCUCUGUCAGGAACUUCCGGGAGUCAAUUGCUGCAUUAACUGCAUUUGAUAGUAUGCAAAUCCCACCAUGGAUAUAUACGCAAUUACAAUUCCUAUGAGGUUAAUGAAGAAGCUGAAGAGACACUGGUUUUAAAUUGGAACAGGAAUGAAGGUAAAUAGCAAAGAUGUCACAGAAAGGAAAGAGCAUGCCAGGCCACCCCAUCACUGAGCAGGGUAUCACAGUGCAGAGACAAGUCCCGACACCAGAUCCCAGCGCUCUCUGCCAGCUGUCUGCCUGCAGGCAUCCUCCUGCCAGGAGCCAGAGUCAACCUGCCUGCCCUGCCCCACUGCUCCUGUGGCCCGGAAAAGAGGGAGGGUCAGCCCAGAGACAUUGCCUUCAAACACUAAGACUGUGAUGACUCGCACAGCUCCACCUGCCCUCAUAGGCGAGAAAAGCAUGCUCAACACAGGAUGCCUAAUGUGAGGCAUCCAUUUCUAAUCCGAACACUGUGCUUUACACUAGAAUUAGGCUUCUGAACAUCUAGUUCUAGAUGUAAGUACAAACUGAA